rnacentral:rRNA from 1 species
UACGGAGGAUCCGAGCGUUAUCCGGAUUUAUUGGGUUUAAAGGGAGCGUAGGUGGAUUGUUAAGUCAGUUGUGAAAGUUUGCGGCUCAACCGUAAAAUUGCAGUUGAAACUGGCAGUCUUGAGUACAGUAGAGGUGGGCGGAAUUCGUGGUGUAGCGGUGAAAUGCUUAGAUAUCACGAAGAACUCCGAUUGCGAAGGCAGCUCACUGGACUGCAACUGACGCUGAGGCUCGAAAGCGUGGGGAGCAAACAGG